rnacentral:rRNA from 1 species
AGACCCGAAACCCGGUGAUCUAGCCAUGGGCAGGUUGAAGGUUGGGUAACACUAACUGGAGGACCGAACCGACUAAUGUUGAAAAAUUAGCGGAUGACCUGUGGCUGGGGGUGAAAGGCCAAUCAAACCGGGAGAUAGCUGGUUCUCCCCGAAAGCUAUUUAGGUAGCGCCUCGUGAAUUCAUCUCCGGGGGUAGAGCACUGUUUCGGCUAGGGGGCCAUCCCGGCUUACCAACCCGAUGCAAACUGCGAAUACCGGAGAAUGUUAUCACGGGAGACACACGGCGGGUGCUAACGUCCGUCGUGAAGAGGGAAACAACCCAGACCGCCAGCUAAGGUCCCAAAGUCAUGGUUAAGUGGGAAACGAUGUGGGAAGGCCCAGACAGCCAGGAUGUUGGCUUAGAAGCAGCCAUCAUUUAAAGAAAGCGUAAUAGCUCACUGGUCGAGUCGGCCUGCGCGGAAGAUGUAACGGGGCUAAACCAUGCACCGAAGCUGCGGCAGCGACACUGUGUGUUGUUGGGUAGGGGAGCGUUCUGUAAGCCUGUGAAGGUGUGUCGUGAGGCAUGCUGGAGGUAUCAGAAGUGCGAAUGCUGACAUAAGUAACGAUAAAGCGGGUGAAAAGCCCGCUCGCCGGAAGACCAAGGGUUCCUGUCCAACGUUAAUCGGGGCAGGGUGAGUCGACCCCUAAGGCGAGGCCGAAAGGCGUAGUCGAUGGGAAACGGGUUAAUAUUCCCGUACUUGGUGUUACUGCGAAGGGGGGACGGAGAAGGCUAUGUUGGCCGGGCGACGGUUGUCCCGGUUUAAGCGUGUAGGUGUGUGUUCCAGGUAAAUCCGGUUCACUUUAACACUGAGGCGUGACGACGAGGCACUACGGUGCUGAAGCAACAAAUGCCCUGCUUCCAGGAAAAGCCUCUAAGCAUCAGGUAACAUCAAAUCGUACCCCAAACCGACACAGGUGGUCAGGUAGAGAAUACCAAGGCGCUUGAGAGAACUCGGGUG